rnacentral:tRNA from 1 species
CGGGAUGUAGUUCAGUCCGGUAGAAUACACGUCUGGGGGGCGUGGGGUCGCAAGUUCGAAUCUUGUCAUCCCGACCA